rnacentral:rRNA from 1 species
UUAAGUUAUUAAGGGCGCACGGUGGAUGCCUUGGCACUAGAAGCCGAUGAAGGACGUUACUAACGACGAUAUGCUUUGGGGAGCUGUAAGUAAGCUUUGAUCCAGAGAUUUCCGAAUGGGGAAACCCAGCAUGAGUUAUGUCAUGUUAUCGAUAUGUGAAUACAUAGCAUAUCAGAAGGCACACCCGGAGAACUGAAACAUCUUAGUACCCGGAGGAAGAGAAAGAAAAUUCGAUUCCCUUAGUAGCGGCGAGCGAAACGGGAAGAGCCCAAACCAACAAGCUUGCUUGUUGGGGUUGUAGGACACUCUAUACGGAGUUACAAAGGACGACAUUAGACGAAUCAUCUGGAAAGAUGAAUCAAAGAAGGUAAUAAUCCUGUAGUCGAAAAUGUUGUCUCUCUUGAGUGGAUCCUGAGUACGACGGAGCACGUGAAAUUCCGUCGGAAUCUGGGAGGACCAUCUCCUAAGGCUAAAUACUCUCUAGUGACCGAUAGUGAACCAGUACCGUGAGGGAAAGGUGAAAAGCACCCCGGAAGGGGAGUGAAAUAGAACCUGAAACCGUGUGCUUACAAGUAGUCAGAGCCCGUUAAUGGGUGAUGGCGUGCCUUUUGUAGAAUGAACCGGCGAGUUACGAUUUGAUGCAAGGUUAAGCAGUAAAUGUGGAGCCGUAGCGAAAGCGAGUCUGAAUAGGGCGUUUAGUAUUUGGUCGUAGACCCGAAACCAGGUGAUCUACCCUUGGUCAGGUUGAAGUUCAGGUAACACUGAAUGGAGGACCGAACCGACUUACGUUGAAAAGUGAGCGGAUGAACUGAGGGUAGCGGAGAAAUUCCAAUCGAACCUGGAGAUAGCUGGUUCUCUCCGAAAUAGCUUUAGGGCUAGCCUCAAGUGAUGAUUAUUGGAGGUAGAGCACUGUUUGGACGAGGGGCCCCUCUCGGGUUACCGAAUUCAGACAAACUCCGAAUGCCAAUUAAUUUAACUUGGGAGUCAGAACAUGGGUGAUAAGGUCCGUGUUCGAAAGGGAAACAGCCCAGACCACCAGCUAAGGUCCCAAAAUAUAUGUUAAGUGGAAAAGGAUGUGGCGUUGCCCAGACAACUAGGAUGUUGGCUUAGAAGCAGCCAUCAUUUAAAGAGUGCGUAAUAGCUCACUAGUCGAGUGACACUGCGCCGAAAAUGUACCGGGGCUAAACAUAUUACCGAAGCUGUGGAUUGUCCUUUGGACAAUGGUAGGAGAGCGUUCUAAGGGCGUUGAAGCAUGAUCGUAAGGACAUGUGGAGCGCUUAGAAGUGAGAAUGCCGGUGUGAGUAGCGAAAGACGGGUGAGAAUCCCGUCCACCGAUUGACUAAGGUUUCCAGAGGAAGGCUCGUCCGCUCUGGGUUAGUCGGGUCCUAAGCUGAGGCCGACAGGCGUAGGCGAUGGAUAACAGGUUGAUAUUCCUGUACCACCUAUAAUCGUUUUAAUCGAUGGGGGGACGCAGUAGGAUAGGCGAAGCGUGCGAUUGGAUUGCACGUCUAAGCAAUAAGGCUGAGUAUUAGGCAAAUCCGGUACUCGUUAAGGCUGAGCUGUGAUGGGGAGAAGACAUUGUGUCUUCGAGUCGUUGAUUUCACACUGCCGAGAAAAGCCUCUAGAUAGAAAAUAGGUGCCCGUACCGCAAACCGACACAGGUAGUCAAGAUGAGAAUUCUAAGGUGAGCGAGCGAACUCUCGUUAAGGAACUCGGCAAAAUGACCCCGUAACUUCGGGAGAAGGGGUGCUCUUUAGGGUUAACGCCCAGAAGAGCCGCAGUGAAUAGGCCCAAGCGACUGUUUAUCAAAAACACAGGUCUCUGCUAAACCGUAAGGUGAUGUAUAGGGGCUGACGCCUGCCCGGUGCUGGAAGGUUAAGAGGAGUGGUUAGCUUCUGCGAAGCUACGAAUCGAAGCCCCAGUAAACGGCGGCCGUAACUAUAACGGUCCUAAGGUAGCGAAAUUCCUUGUCGGGUAAGUUCCGACCCGCACGAAAGGCGUAACGAUUUGGGCACUGUCUCAACGAGAGACUCGGUGAAAUCAUAGUACCUGUGAAGAUGCAGGUUACCCGCGACAGGACGGAAAGACCCCGUGGAGCUUUACUGUAGCCUGAUAUUGAAAUUCGGCACAGCUUGUACAGGAUAGGUAGGAGCCUUUGAAACGUGAGCGCUAGCUUACGUGGAGGCGCUGGUGGGAUACUACCCUAGCUGUGUUGGCUUUCUAACCCGCACCACUUAUCGUGGUGGGAGACAGUGUCAAGCGGGCAGUUUGACUGGGGCGGUCGCCUCCUAAAAGGUAACGGAGGCGCUCAAAGGUUCCCUCAGAAUGGUUGGAAAUCAUUCAUAGAGUGUAAAGGCAUAAGGGAGCUUGACUGCGAGACCUACAAGUCGAGCAGGGUCGAAAGACGGACUUAGUGAUCCGGUGGUUCCGCAUGGAAGGGCCAUCGCUCAACGGAUAAAAGCUACCCCGGGGAUAACAGGCUUAUCUCCCCCAAGAGUUCACAUCGACGGGGAGGUUUGGCACCUCGAUGUCGGCUCAUCGCAUCCUGGGGCUGUAGUCGGUCCCAAGGGUUGGGCUGUUCGCCCAUUAAAGCGGUACGCGAGCUGGGUUCAGAACGUCGUGAGACAGUUCGGUCCCUAUCCGUCGUGGGCGUAGGAAAUUUGAGAGGAGCUGUCCUUAGUACGAGAGGACCGGGAUGGACAUACCUCUGGUGUACCAGUUGUCGUGCCAACGGCAUAGCUGGGUAGCUAUGUGUGGACGGGAUAAGUGCUGAAAGCAUCUAAGCAUGAAGCCCCCCUCAAGAUGAGAUUUCCCAACUUCGGUUAUAAGAUCCCUCAAAGAUGAUGAGGUUAAUAGGUUCGAGGUGGAAGCAUGGUGACAUGUGGAGCUGACGAAUACUAAUCGAUCGAAGACUUAAUCAA